CUGCCUCCUUGAGUCAUUUGACCUCUGGGGUUAAAUAGGAAAGUGCAGUUCAUCUACAGGAUUGCUUUUAUGGAAGACACAUUUCCUUUGAUGAGCACUAAGUGAGGACUGGCAAACACAAGAUAGAAAAAAGAGAAUAAUCAUCAUUAUGCAAAUGGCGAUUUUAUAGUCACCGCUAUACACCAGACUCUGAACCAUGUAAAGCUAAGCUCUGUAUUGCAGUCUUCCCAACAACCUUAUGAGAUGAUCAGAAGUUGACUCUACAUCCACCCUCAUGAUAGUUGGGAAGAAUGAGUCCCAGAGAGCUGUGACAUCAUCCUCCUACCUUCCUGAGAGCAUUGGAAAAAAGAAUGAACGUCUCUCAAACUCUGAAGGGUUUUGAGAAAGAUCCUGGGAUGACUAAGAGGAAAUGACAGUCACUUUAAUUUUCAGAGUGAAUGGUAAAAGAGAAGGUGUUAGGAACAUUAUUAUUACCUGAGAGAGAGAAAAAGAGAGAGAAUAUAUCUGGGG
rnacentral:lncRNA from 1 species